rnacentral:lncRNA from 1 species
GCGGAUCUGCAAGAUUAAAGAAUUAAGCCUGUAUCUGGCUGCCUCCAGUUGCUGGCACUGGAGCUACUUGUGUGAUAGAAGGUGUAUGGCGCAGUCGUUUACUUCAAAUUGAUGCAAAAAUUUAAGUACCUGAGAUCCUGAACGAUGGGGGAACAUCUGCAGUGUGCCGUGACUGACUAAGUGCAGAGAACACGCAGUUGGGACACCAAAGGAGGACGGGAAGCCAAGAGGAGGGAGUUAAGAAUCUUCGCAUUCUUGUUGCCUGCUAUUUCUGUCCCUGUUGAUGCAACAGCAGUUCUUUAAGUAGCAGCAGCAGG